CCCUUAGAUGUUCUGGGCCGCACGCGCGCUACACUGACGAAUGCAACGAGCUUAUAACCUUGGCCGAAAGGUCUGGGUAAUCUCCAAAUUUCGUCGUGAUGGGGAUAGAUUAUUGCAAUUAUUAAUCUUCAACGAGGAAUGCCUAGUAAGCGCAAGUCAUCAGCUUGCGUUGAUUACGUCCCUGCCCUUUGUACACACCGCCCGUCGCUGCCCGGAACUGAGCCAUUUCGAGAAAAAUGGGGACAGACUGCUUGUGGGUGCGCAAGCACUUCUUGCAGAUUGAAACCAUCUUGAUCGGUAUGGCUUGAACCGGGCAAAANUCGUAACA
rnacentral:rRNA from 1 species